CCACUGGGCUGCUUCCUCCCACUUCCGUCUGAUCCCAGCGGACAGAGAUAACUGGCUCCACUUCCUCCUGUUUUUUCUCUCUCUGUGUCUGUCUCCCUUUGUGCAGUACUCAAGCUUAAUCCCAGGGCCUCUAGCCGGAGCUACACCUCAAGUCCUUCUUGUUUUUGUGACCCAACCUGGCUGUAAACUUGCAACCUUCCUGCUUCAGCCUUCCAGAGUGCUGGGACUACAGGAGAGUGCCGUGUGGAGGGAUGGCAGAGCCAAUGGAGCCCGAAGAUCCUGUGCUGGGGCACAUGUGCCACGCUCCUCCCAGCGCAGCAGGGAACUGGACACAGCACCAGAUCUGACCCUGGUGCUAAGAAGGGGCUGGCAGGAAAAGCCCCUGUGGCUGGAAGGCUGGCUCAGAAGGGCUCUCCGUGUCCGGUGGCUGGCAGUGUGCUUCGGUCGAGGGC